ACUCCUACGGGAGGCAGCAGUGGGGAAUAUUGCACAAUGGGGGAAACCCUGAUGCAGCCAUGCCGCGUGUGUGAAGAAGGCCUUCGGGUUGUAAAGCACUUUCAGUAGGGAGGAAGGUAGUGUAGUUAACACCUGCAUUAUUUGUACGUUACCUACAGAAGAAGCACCGGCUAACUCCGUGCCAGCAGCCGCGGUAAUACGGGAGGGUGCGAGCGUUAAUCGGAAUUACUGGGCGUAAAGCGCAUGCAGGCGGCCUGUUAAGUCAGAUGUGAAAGCCCGGGGCUUAACCUCGGAAUUGCAUUUGAAACUGGCAGGCUAGAGUCUUGUAGAGGGGUUAGAAUUCUAGGUGUAGCGGUGAAAUGCGUAGAGAUCGUGAAGGAAUACCG
rnacentral:rRNA from 1 species